UUGAUGCCUGUGAUGGUGUUAAAUAUACUUUGAGAGAUUAAUCUCUGGGAAAAAAGUAAUCAAAUCUGAGGCUACCA
rnacentral:snoRNA from 1 species